UACGUAGGUGGCAAGCGUUGUCCGGAUUUACUGGGCGUAAAGGGCGUGCAGGCGGUUCGUUAAGUCUAGAGUGAAAGCUCCCGGCUCAACUGGGAGAGGUCUUUGGAUACUGGCGGACUUGAGGAGGGUAGAGGAGAGUGGAAUUCCCGGUGUAGUGGUGAUAUGCGUAGAUAUCGGGAGGAACACCAGUGGCGAAGGCGGCUCUCUGGGCCCUACCUGACGCUGAGACGCGAAAGCGUGGGGAGCGAACCGGAUUAGAAACC
rnacentral:rRNA from 1 species